GGUUGACCUCGGAUCAGGUAGGGAUACCCGCUGAACUUAAGCAUAUCAAUAAGCGGAGGAAAAGAAACCAACAGGGAUUGCCCUAGUAACGGCGAGUGAAGCGGCAAGAGCUCAAAUUUGAAAGCUGGCUCCUUCGGGGCCCGCAUUGUAAUUUGCAGAGGAUGCUUCGGGAGUGGCCCCCGUCUAAGUGCCCUGGAACGGGCCGUCAUAGAGGGUGAGAAUCCCGUCU
rnacentral:rRNA from 1 species